rfam:Dipodomys ordii contig_37099, whole genome shotgun sequence.
GAGAAGGUAGCUCAGCGGUAGAGUGCAUGUCUUGCAUACCUGAGGCCCUGGGUUC